rnacentral:lncRNA from 1 species
ACCACUGUACCGACUACGGGUCGAAGUACCGACCUGUACGUAUCUGACGAAGGUCUCUCGACUGUGAAGACGGCGCGACCGAACCUACGAAAGGUCCAACGGGUUAGGAUCUAACCCACUGACAUGUAAUGCUAACUCACAACCCUCGCUCGCCAGAACCACGACCGGUUUCCCAAAACCGAUUAUCGAAUAAGCCGGAAGUCCCGAAAACCGCACCGGAACUUCAUCGUCGCUCACCCGUCGUUUCCGAACCCUCACAACGACGCGGGUGACCAGCCAACAAGGCUCAGCGACGCUUCAAUUAGCCACGAGGCACCGUCGGAUGAAUUCCGAACCGAAACCGCGUUCUAUCGGCGGAUUUCGCCGAAAACGCUCCGGGAAUCACUUUUUGAUUUCCGUAAGGGCUUGGGCCUUGGACGAUCAGUCCAGAGAUUAUCCUCAGCCCAAACAUGCAGCCAACAGCAUCUACAACGAAGCAGAAAACCUAAAAGCCCAUACCGAUACAUGAAAUCGCAUCAUUUCAUGUGAUUUCUAGGCUUUUCUGGACCGUGCAGGCAAACCAGAGGUCGAUUAAUCCGACCGUCGUACUCGCUGACAGGUUUCAGCAUGUCGGAGGCCGUGCUCACCUUUCGGAGCACUGCCGGCCACUGCGGUGCGCGCACGAGCGACGCGAAGUUCUGAUAAACUGCGCGCACAGCGCGAAGAUCCCAACUAACUCACAAACCAGGGCAUCUUUGCCGCUGUUGGAGGUGAGCACGAUGUUCAGCACGACCUAAGGAUCAUCGUGCUCACUUCCCGAGGUCAAAAAGACCAUUCGGAUUGCCGGAAUAGCUACCGGAAAGUGGGAAAACAGUGCUGGCUGCAAAAAUGGACACUCACAGUGAAGGGGGAGCUAGGGUUGGCCGCCGGCGGUAUUCCGGCGGGCGGUCCGGCCGGGGAUGGGUGCACCAGAUGGCGGGGCUCCGGGUAACUCCACGUCAGGCGGCGCAGGGCGGCCGGAGGUGCGGCGGCGGCGUACGGAG